GUGCGGCAAGGAGCCGCAGUUCAAGUGUCCCUACUGUCCACAUCGUGCCAAGCAGAAGAUCAAUCGUCAGCUUUAAUCAGAGGAAGAUAUGUGUGCUGCAACUGUGGAAGGAGCUAUAAAAUGAAAGGAGCACUCAUAAGGCACCAGAAGUACGAAUGUGGAAUGGAACCUCAAUUCCAGUGCCCCAAAUGUCCUUAUCGCGCCAAACAGAAAACUCAUAUUCAACGUCAUUUAGUUCUAAAACACUUUAUUUAGGUUUCCUAAAUUCUAUUAUCUGCUAUUUCCCGUCUAAUUUCAGGUAGAUUUCCGGGUUAUUCAGCAGUUGUUGUUUCGGAAAAAUUUGUAGAAAUUUUUAUUCUGAAAAUUUUUCCAUCCCACAUAAUUAUUUUAUCUUGUAAACCCGUACUACUGACUCAAUUUGGUAAAGAUGAAUUUUCAUGUAAGUGAACAAGUCAAAUUAUAGAAAUUAUUUCAGGUUAUCGAUCUAUUAUUGUGUUAUUUUAGCAAAUUCUUAAUGUAAAACAUUUUUAUGAUAAAAAUAAUAGGAUUCCACAUUCCGUGAAGAAUAGACAAUAAUUGUCUAUUUUACUCUAGUAAUAAUAUUGAAUAAUAUUUAGUCUAGUAGUGAACCAGAAACUAUAUCACACUUAUGCUGCGUUUACACUAAAUUUAUUAACAAAAUUUUAAUAACUUAAUCCUUAUAGAUUCUAUUAGAUUGAACAUAACUUAUCAUACACAUGAUGAACAUAUGUGUUUGUCAAGUUCCGUUCAAUCUAAUAGAAUCUAUAAGGAUUAAGUUAUUAAUAUUUUGUUAAUAACUUUGGUGUAAUCGCAGCUUAGGUUUGUAAAUUUUAAUGUUCAGUUAUAAUUUUAUCAAUAAAGAGUACUAUCACAGCAUACUAUAGAUAGAGGUGUUACUUAUUACUUAUCUAAAGUAAGCCAUGGUACUAGGCUAUAAUUGUUUUUUUAUACAUCACAUUGGAUUGAUUACAUUACAUUUUCCAACCAAUAACUAAUAUUCGUAAUUUUUCCAAGUUCACAACCUUAUUUUUGGAUAAUAAACCAUUGGGAUAAGGGAGAAUAAAUUCACUUGGAAUUAAUUACGGUAGGUGAAGAAUAUGAUAGUAUUCAGGUAGUAUGAAAAAAAAACUUGAAAAUGCUGAGUUCAGGAAGCUGUAUUUUAAAAUAAAAAUAA